CAUGUAGGCGGAUUAAUAAGUUUGAAGUGAAGUCCUAUAGCUUAACUAUAGAACUGCUUUGAAAACUGUUAAUCUAGAAUGUGGGAGAGGUAGAUGGAAUUUCUGGUGUAGGGUAAAAUCCGUAGAGAUCAGAAGGAAUACCGAUUGCGAAGGCGAUCUACUGGAACAUUAUUGACGCUGAGAUGCGAAAGCGUGGGGAGCAAACA
rnacentral:rRNA from 1 species